GAUGAACGCUGGCGGCGUGCCUAAUACAUGCAAGUCGAGCGAACGGACGAGAAGCUUGCUUCUCUGAUGUUAGCGGCGGACGGGUGAGUAACACGUGGAUAACCUACCUAUAAGACUGGGAUAACUUCGGGAAACCGGAGCUAAUACCGGAUAAUAUUUUGAACCGCAUGGUUCAAAAGUGAAAGACGGUCUUGCUGUCACUUAUAGAUGGAUCCGCGCUGCAUUAGCUAGUUGGUAAGGUAACGGCUUACCAAGGCAACGAUGCAUAGCCGACCUGAGAGGGGGAUCGCCCACAUGGGAAGUGGGACGGGGUCAAGGCGCCUACGGGAGGCAGCAGUAGGGAAUCUUCGGCAAUGGGCGAAAGCCUGACGGAGCAGCGCGGCGUGAGUGAUGAAGGUCUUCGGAGCGUAAAACUCGGUUAUGAGGGAUAAACAUAUUUGGAAUGAACUGUGCACAUCGUGACGGUACCUAAUAAGAAAGCCACGGCUAACUACGUG
rnacentral:rRNA from 1 species